AAUUUUACUGUGUAAAAUUUGAAAAUUUAGGGGAUUGAUGCUGACCUAGACAGUUUCAGCAUGGUUCUAAUUUGAAAUAGUUAUAGUUCACAACGGUUUUGAUUUGACUGUACCUAUUAUCAAAUAAUAAUAAAAUUUUAGAUAUCGUUUAUAAUUCAAAAAUUUUUUAAAAAAUACAAACUCAAUGUAUAAAUUUUAGAAAAAGAAAUAAAAGAAAACAAGUUUUAAAUCGAUUGGUUCUGGUUCUAACCUGUUGGUUUUGGGCCCAGUUCAAGUAGGGAGGGCGCUUUACCGACCCACUAACCUCGAUUUAAAAUCGAUUCAAGGUCCUAAACCAUUGGCUAGAGCCGAAUCCAAGUUUGACCAAGGUCGGUCUCAAUUCAAUUCAAUGAU
rnacentral:misc_RNA from 1 species